rnacentral:lncRNA from 1 species
CCAAGUCUGAAAGCAGAUGAGCCUCCUCCUUACCUCUUUAGAAGAUAAGUGGCAGCCCAACGCUACAUCACAUUCACCUGACUUCAUCUCAGCAUGUAGGCAUUUCUUCCUCUUACAUCAUCACAAGAAGAAGGGCAUAGGACCGAUGUCUAGAGUCAGAAGGACAGUGCAG